CGCCACAUUGUAAAUCUUUUCAUUUUGUUUUGAUGGGGAGCUCUUGCAAUUUUAUUCAUUUGUUUAUUAUCUGAGUUUUUUUUUUUUUUGCUUUUAGAAGAAAAACUGCAAGCCGGUCAGCCAGCUUCCUUUUAUUUGCAGUGCAGGAGAAACUUGACUUUUUCGCUCGACACUUUCUCGUGUUGUUGCAUGAAAAUAAGACACACACACACACACACACACACACAGAAAUGUCAGUCGGGAUUGUGAGGGCAAGGGCAUCGCGCAACGUUUUUGUUUUUUGUUUCCCCGGGAUUUUUUGCAAGUUGUUCAUGGAAGCUGAAGACUACUAGAGUACUACGCUGACGUGAACCAUCUGCUAGAAACAACUAACAGUUGAUUGAAUUAGGGCUCGGACACAAACCUGAGAUAUUGGCCAAAUGUUUAUUUUGUGACUUGUCAAUCUAUGUCCUGGUAUUCCCUGAUGAAAUUGUAUUGCAUAACAAUUUUUUUUUUCUUCAGAUUUAGCAUGUUCUUUUUGCGUUGUUUUUUAAAGUUCCAAGAGCAGGUAGGAUAAACAGUGGCGAAUGUUUGCACUUAAUUUAGCCCAAAAGUGUUUUCUUUCAACAUGUUUCAGUGAGAACGAGCCUGCUGUGCGCCACAUGUGGAGAGCGGCACCUUGCUUUUGUUUGUUUUCCGAAGUUAUUUACCUCGUACUUUGUUAAUGAAUGUUGAAUGGUGUAGCAGAGCAGGCGCAAUGUUAUUUGAAGUACAUACUGCACUAGUUGAUUCACAGUCUGCAGCCAUAGUCUAAUAGGUUAAAAAAAGUGACCUCGAGAAACACAACAACCCCGGGGUUAAUGGACAGAGGGUAUUUUCAGUUGUAGAUGUAGUUCACCUAAACAUUUGGCAGAUCCCAGCAUUUUGUUACUUCAGUUGAAAUAUUUCUAAUAGCUUUGCAGUAAGUUACAAAUGCAUGCAAAGCAGGUGUUUAGCUUUCACUUUCACUUAAUACAUCCGGUAUUUGGCAGGCUUUAUGGUAGUUCCUUGCUUGUCACUGUAGGACAGGGAAGCGUUUUGUCACCUCCAUCAAAGGCGUGGUGUUUAUGGCCCCAUUGAAGUCUGACUUGUACAGAGGUGUCCUUGCACUCGUCUUGCUGCUAUAUAUAUGUACUGAUGCAGCCAUGGGAUUGGAAUGGACAAAAAUCAAGUCAUUCUGCCAGGAAAUUUUAGCUUUAGGUGGGUUGUAAAGGGCCUCGCACAUGCUUUCCACACCAAGCAAGAUUCAAAUGCAUGUUAAGUAUCAGAUUUGACAUAAAUUUUAUUUUCCCUCUUGAGGGAUUGCACCCUAAACACAUAGCUAGAGUUGGCUAGCUCAGUCUGUAAAUGAUACAAAGAGUCAUGUUGGAAAUAAAGCUUUAAAACUC